UACGUAGGGCGCAAGCGUUAUCCGGAAUUAUUGGGCGUAAAGAGCGUGUAGGCGGCCAGGUAGGUCGGUUGUGAAAACUGGAGGCCCAACCUUCAGAGGUCGACCGAAACCAUCUGGCUAGAGUCCGGGAGAGGAGAGUGGAAUUCCUGGUGUAGCGGUGAAAUGCGCAGAUAUCAGGAAGAACACCCGUGGCGAAAGCGGCUCUCUGGAACGGUACUGACGCUGAGACGCGAAAAGCCCAGGGGAGCAAAACGGGG
rnacentral:rRNA from 1 species